rnacentral:misc_RNA from 1 species
AAUUACCCUUAGGAAAGAAAUACAUGGCAAAAGCCCCUGAAAACUAAUGAGACUCACUCAUAGCUCAUUCACUUCCAAUCAACAUUUUAACCUAUUCACCACUUAGUUCAAUCAUAAAUCAUUCACACUUUUAUAAUAGUUAAAAUGAAUAAAUUUAACCUUAAAGAAGCUACGUAUACAUAACCUUUUUCCCCAACUUUAAUUUUCCAAUCCUAGUGUUUGAUCCAACCUAUGAUGGCCUCCUUCUUCUUCUUCUAGCUGCCAUGGGUGCCACUCUCUUCCUUCUAAGUCCCUGUUUUGCCCACCUCUCACUACUGAAGUUUUCAUUUUUACUUCACUAGCUUGCUAUCUACAAA